CAAAGCUUUUCAGUUGCCUGGCUUUCUGCCAGCAAUUGGACACGCUGUGAUCAUAAGUGCCAAGGAGUUAAAACAAAAUGACAUUUUUAUUUCCUAGUGUUGGCAAAACCGAAGUUUGGAUGCUCAGAAAACACUGAUGACCACUGGCUCCCUUACCAGCUAAGUUACUCCAGUAUCCAGUUUCUGACAGAUUUUAAGAGGCUUGACUAAUCGAGGACAAGGCACUGCCAGGAAUAUACCAGUGGAGCACGCUAUACCAUGUUUUAGGAAGUCUCAAACAGUGCAGAAAAAGGAACCAUGUCAGUGAGAUUUGAAAGGCUGACUUGUAGCCUGCUCCCCAAAAUGGACCCCAGGACUGCAUGGGGCAUGAAGGCUUCCUGGGCAGUGCAGGGAAGGAGUCAGGCAUCGCAGAAUGGGACCCCAGGAAAUGAAAAAUAAAGGAGGAAGAUUGUGCCUUGAACAGUGAACACCGUCUGAGCCAAAAUAACACAUCCGCAAUGUGCUCCUCCCAAAGGUUUUACUCCCAAACAAUUCAGGUUGAAGUUUGUGAUGGACCUCCCAGAUUUUCUCUAUCACCUGUUUUCUGACACAGCUGAGCAGCUGCUAACCCUCAGAGUGGUCAAAUUCUUCCUGGCAAGCAGCUGGCAAGUAGUAGGACCAUCUCAUGCAGGCCCGUUUACGCCUCUUUAAGGCAGUAACUUAGAAUCUUUAAACAGGUUUUCAGAUUACUUACUGUCUUAGCUACUGUCAGAAAUAUAAAAAACGUGCAUUUACAGAUCUGCCCUGUAAACAAGCUCACACAAUAAUCUGCCAGUUGAAGAGUAAUUUAACCGGAAGGCUGCUGUCAACUACAUCAAAUACAUGCUCUUCUUUUAAACUGCUGAGAUCGAUAAUGUACAUCUGAUGGCAGAAUGGAAACAGUGUCCUGAGCUGAGCCUGUACUGCUCAUUUUACCUCACUGAACCUCACCUUGACUCAUCAUCAGAGCUUGACUUCCCUUAUUGGAUUGCCAGUGAUGGCAAUUUUCUGGCAUACCUAAUGCAGUCAGUCUCCAUGGAGAAUUAGAAUAAGAUACCAAAUGCACUUCAUUUAUUUAAACCAGAUUUCAAUGAAGAUCUUUGAUGGAAAAAGUGUCUUGUACUAAAUUGCUAAUCUACGGAUCUUUCAAUAUAAAACACUUGCACACAAAUUGUUCAUUCUUCUAUGAGAAGAAUAUCUUAAAUAACCCCUUCUGAGAGAUACACUUGAGACCAUCAGUUGCCUUGUGUGUAUUUCUCUGCUACAUUACUCAGCACCUGGAGAUCCUGCACAUUUGUUGAUAUAUUUUAUUUUGGUAAUAUCAUUGUGAUUAUGCUGCAUGUAACACAUGGUGAAGCAGAAUAAAUAUGUCUUUCGUCCUUAUGAAUCUUCUCUCUGUCUCUUUAAGUGUGCUAUCAAUGUAAAACAGACAUCUGUUAACUACCUCUGCACUCUUUUCCUCUAUAUUCACCAUGCAGCAAUACAGUAACAAAUGGCCAGACCAUUUGGAAUAGAUAGAAGAAAAUAAGUUACUUGAAUCUUACAAUACCAUGCUGCUUCAAGUUGUUAUAUGUUCAGUAGAUGCAAAAGUGAUUGAAAGCACAGAGGUCUAGGCAGUUA